rnacentral:lncRNA from 1 species
UAGAAAGAAAAUAUUGAGAAAAAAAACCAGAUGGUAUGCAGAUAGAACAAAGAUCAUGAAAGAGGUAUGUAGAUGACUAAAGUUUAGGAAACUGUCCUAGAAAAAUCACUUCUCCAUCAAGAGCUGAGCUCUUAAGGGAAAAAAAAAAAAAAGAAAGAAAGGAAAAAAAAGUACUCAAAAAAUUUUUGGAAAAAAAUUAAAGCCCCAGAAAAGAACCAAAUAUUUCUCAUUUUUACUUUUCCCUUUGAUUCAUGAAAAACAUUUUUCAAAAAGACCAAAAGCACCACAGCACAAGGACUUCCCUUGAAUGCAAAGAACAGAUCUGGAGAAGGCACUCUAGAGAAGAUGUAGACAUUUUUUGACAAGGCUCCUCCCAAGAAGCCAAGGUGUCAAGGAACGCCUCAGACAAAGUUGACAAGAUUCAAAAGUGGUUUGGGUAAAAGAGACUCAAUCCUAGAGGGGCAUUUGAUUCCAAAAGGGAAGAAGACGUACUUCAUCUGGAACAUCGUGAAGUCACAGAAGAACUUCACAAGUGUUCCGAUCGGAAGGGAGCCCUUUGAGUAAGUGAAAUGAAGCGUGAAUAACUGCCUAAUUAGUGGACAUGAAAACUGGACAGUCUCCAAAGUCAUCAGAGAUGACCACGCUUGCCAGGCAACUUACUAGACUAAGGGCACACAAUGAGCCUCACGUAAGCAUCAGGUACUACAUUUAGGAAGAGAGAUGGUGUGAGGAUGCAGUGGCCAGAAGAGGCAGCCCAGGGAAGAUCUGAGGUGAACCCUCUGGUUGGAAAGCCUUGGCAAAUUGGAGGAAUGAAAAGAAAAAAGAGUAAAUCUACAACAAGGAUCAGCAAACUCCAGUCUACAGGCCAAAUCCAGCCUGCUGCCUGUUUAUGUCAAUAAAGUUUUAUUGGAACAUAGCCACACUCGUCUGCUUAUUUAUUAUCUAUGGGUGCUUUCAUGCUAGAAUAGCAGGGCUGAGUAGCUGCAAGGGAGACUGCAUGGCCUGC